ensembl:snoRNA
AUCAUUUUCUGGUUCAUAAAUAGGGUGAUUGGGCUUUCACUUUUGUUUGACAUGUACAUCCCUUAAAUUUUGUUAUGUACUUGGCACAUUACCCAUCUGACA